AUUGAACGCUGGCGGCAUGCUUUACACAUGCAAGUCGAACGGCAGCGCGGGCUUCGGCCUGGCGGCGAGUGGCGAACGGGUGAGUAAUACAUCGGAACGUGCCCAGUAGUGGGGGAUAGCUCGGCGAAAGCCGGAUUAAUACCGCAUACGACCUGAGGGUGAAAGCGGGGGAUCUUCGGACCUCGCGCUCUUGGAGCGGCCGAUGGCAGAUUAGCUAGUUGGUGGGGUAAAGGCCUACCAAGGCGACGAUCUGUAGCUGGUCUGAGAGGACGACCAGCCACACUGGGACUGAGACACGGCCCAGACUCCUACGGGAGGCAGCAGUGGGGAAUUUUGGACAGUGGGCGAAAGCCUGAUCCAGCAAUGCCGCGUGUGUGAUGAAGGCCUUCGGGCUGUAAAGCACUUUUGGCGGGAACGAAAAGGACUGUGCCAAUACCACGGUUCGAUGACGGUACCCGCAGAAUAAGCACCGGCUAACUACGUG
rnacentral:rRNA from 1 species